GAACAGCUGCUUCUUUUUGGCUUCUGGUGGCAGGGACACCAUGGAGGUAACUGAGGAGAAAGAAACAUCACAAACUGACACAGAAACACUCUCCACAAUGAGAAUACUUUUAUUUCACCUGGCAGCUUCAAGGGUGGGUUGGGUCAAUGUGGAUUUUGCAUCUUGGUAAGGAGCUAUAAAAGACAAAUUCCAACAAGGAAAGGCCAAGUGAGACACAUCUGCUCCUGGCAGGACUGAUUUACUUCAGAGAGGAGGAUGGACGUCAAAGACACUCCAUAUGGAGUUUAUCUUCUUGUUGACAAAAAUAGCCAUUUGGGCAAGAAACUGUUCUUGUUUGGACUGCUUGACAAAAUGUUGUAUUGACUGGACAUGCAGGACCCAUAGGAAGGUGACCAAUGAACUUUGCAAGGCGAGAUGAUCCUUCAGGUUCCUGCUUCUCAGAAGAAACUGCCAGACAUUCUACAGGACACAGAGAGAAGCAACCUAGAGACUCUAGGCCUGUAGGCUGAAGAAUGGAUACCCCAAUGUUGCAGAAGAACUUUGUUUAAUUAUCCAGGUCUCAUCACCAGUAAGAUGAAAAACUCCAACAAAGUAAUCAUGGGAGGCUUUUCCGUUAAGUUGGUGUGAAGGAAAAAACAGAAGGAGGUAAUGGAUUGAGGCAUAUUACCAUCUGCAGAAAACCACUUUGUAAUUGCAGUGCAUCGGUCUCAGGCACCAGACAGAUGCCUUUGUCCAUGAAUGGCCAGGACCCCUACUGAGCACUUCACACUGUGUGAAAGCAGCAGCUUCCUUUGCAAGCCAACCAAGCAGUUCCCUGGCAGUUGCAUCUGAUAAGGAGUGCUUGUCUACUGAAAUCCAUUCUCUGAAGAUUCAACUAUCACAGCUGCUCUUCAGUUCUAUUAUUGCCCCCACAGUGCCUUUGAUCUGAUUUCUAUAGCAUGUUUCUUAUCCCUUACACUUAUCAGCGACACUUCCUGCCUCAAUCUGCUUAAAAUGGUUUCAGGAAAACACCCAACUGCUUCCCCACUUGAUAAAAUGAAAAAUAUUGAUAAUCAUGUAAAACUUAAACAAACAACCUCUUAUGUACCUUAAUGGUUAUGUUGGAUAUAUUUUCAAAUGGGACCUUUUUUGUAGUGAUGGAAUGUGGAUUUAUAGCUUGAUCCAAGGUUUAAGAAUAACAGGUAAUCCCAACUUCUGCUUGUGAAUACUCUCAAUUUGGAAAUAGAGAGCAGAUGUUGACAGAGCUAUAUUUGCCAGUCUGAUUCCUCAGCAAACACUCUGAAGGAAAGACAACACGAGUCUAGACUGAAUAAAUACUCCGCUUAAAUUUAUGUUUUCAAUCCUUUUAGCUGUAUCCCCUAAAGAUGACAUAUGUAUGAUUGAGAAUACAAAGUGAUUUUGUCAUUAAACUCAGCAAAGUCCCCGUACUUUAAUAGCUCAGCUUUGAACAUAACACAUCCACAUUAAAGGGAAUAUUACAGCAUGUUUCAGUUUGAAAUGUAAAUAAGUCUACCACUUUG